rnacentral:rRNA from 1 species
UACGGGGGGAGCAAGCGUUGUUCGGAUUUACUGGGCGUAAAGGGCGCGUAGGCGGCCAGCACAAGUCAGUUGUGAAAUCUCCGAGCUUAACUCGGAAAGGUCAACUGAUACUGUGCGGCUAGAGUGCGGAAGGGGCAACUGGAAUUCUUGGUGUAGCGGUGAAAUGCGUAGAUAUCAAGAGGAACACCUGCGGCGAAGGCGGGUUGCUGGGCCGACACUGACGCUGAGGCGCGAAAGCUAGGGGAGCGAACGGG